UAAGUUCAUUUUUGAAAGAUUGACAUACUUUUKCUGCCAUUAUUAGCGUUACACGGGUGUUACUCUUUAUUUGACAGGUUAGAUUCUUGAAUUAUCUUCAGUGAUAAGUUAUUUUCCAGUGAUCAAUAUUUUUUGCCAAUGAGAUGGGAGCUGGCCCACAAGCGGAACUACAAUUGCUGUUUCAGUAGACGACUUUUCAAAUUCUGUYAACAAAAAUUAAAAGAAUAAAAGACRCCCAAAGACACUAACAACCAAGAAACUUUAUUUAAGAGGCAAAAUGCUUUUCWGGCUAGGAUAUUCACAGCUUCAGCCGCUACUACAUCAGAAGACGUUUCAACAACGCUGGAUGAAUUGACUACAURGUUAAAAUCGCAUUACAUCAGUACAGGUGUUUUCUUUACUUCAAGACCAGCCUCAGGAACAAGUACUUGGCUUAAACUCCUAUUAUAGUUUUCUUUGCAUGUUUCAUUUAUUGUUGAAUAAAUAUCUUGUCCUACU